rnacentral:lncRNA from 1 species
UAAUUGCCUCAUGUUUACCGACUUAAUAUUAUCGAAAGAUGUUUCUAUGAUUUGGUCUCCUAAUAUGACAUGUCACACAUAUACAUAUUUAAUAUAUAUCUACAUCGCAUGCAAAUAUAUAUACAUAUCUAGUAUGUGUAUAAGCAAUCACACCAAAUGAUCAUGGACCACAACCUAAUGUGAUUAGGCCUGAGCCAGUAGGCCUAAUCACUCACAUCAAGAUCUAUGUGUGCAACGGUGCAUCUCCAUGCCUUGUGAUCGUCCAUCUCGUCCUCGUUGAUUCCGUCGAUAUCUUGAUGCAUCUCCAUGCAUCACGAUCGUCCGUCUCGUGGGUCCCGCUAUCGCAUCCACGCUCCCGCUGCGCCUCCUCAUGUGAUUACAACUUAAUCAUAGGCACGCAGGCCCGACAAUAAACGAGAAAUAUAACGGAGGCUCGCAGUCCUCAAUAAUAAUAAUCACAAGUACACAC